rnacentral:rRNA from 1 species
GUCGAGGGGUAGGCUCAUUUCGGUGAGUACACGACCGGCGCACGGGUGCGUAACGCGUAUGCAACCUACCUUUAACAGAGGGAUAGCCCGAAGAAAUUCGGAUUAAUACCUCAUAACACUGCGAAAUGGCAUCAUUUAGCAGUUAAAACUCCGGUGGUUAAAGAUGGGCAUGCGUGACAUUAGAUAGUUGGUGAGGUAACGGCUCACCAAGUCUACGAUGUCUAGGGGUUCUGAGAGGAUGAUCCCCCACACUGGUACUGAGACACGGACCAGACUCCUACGGGAGGCAGCAGUAAGGAAUAUUGGUCAAUGGGCGCAAGCCUGAACCAGCCAUGCCGCGUGCAGGAAGACGGCCUUAUGGGUUGUAAACUGCUUUUAUAAAGGGAUAAACCCCCCAACGUGUUGGGGGCUGAAGGUACUUUAUGAAUAAGCACCGGCUAACUCCGUG